rnacentral:rRNA from 1 species
GACGAACGCUGGCGGCGUGCUUAACACAUGCAAGUCGAACGGUAAGGCCCUUCGGGGUACACGAGUGGCGAACGGGUGAGUAACACGUGGUUGAUCUGCCCUGCACUUCGGGAUAAGCCUGGGAAACUGGGUCUAAUACCGGAUAGGACUCCUGGCUUCAUGGUUGGGGGUGGAAAGCUUUUGCGGUGUGGGAGGGGCCCGCGGCCUAUCAGCUUGUUGGUGGGGUAAUGGCCUACCAAGGCGACGACGGGUGGCCGGCCUGAGAGGGUGACCGGUAACACUGGGACUGAGAUACGGCCCAGACUCCUACGGGAGGCAGCAGUGGGGAAUAUUGCACAAUGGGCGCAAGCCUGAUGCAGCGACGCCGCGUGAGGGAUGACGGCCUUCGGGUUGUAAACCUCUUUCAGCUAUGACGAAGCGCAAGUGACGGUAGUAGCAGAAGAAGGACCGGUCAACUACGUGCCAGCAGCCGCCGUAA